ensembl:snRNA Rnu2-63 RNA, U2 small nuclear 63
AUUACUUCUUAGCCUUCUUACUGAGGUCGAGGGCAAGAUCUGUUCUCGUCAGUUUGAUACUGACUGGGUCCUCUAUCUGAAGACCGCAUAUUAAAUGAUUUGGGGAGCUAAUCGAUACAACAGAGACUGGUUCUGCCCUCUUUACCCAUUGACCUGGUGUUGCAGAACAUCCAGGGACGGGGUAUCCUCU